GUGUUGCUGCAGCAGCACAACUGCCGUGAGCAAGCGAGGCAUGCACUCGAAAUCUAAAGGAGCUUCCCUGCGUCGGCGACGGCGGCGGAUUUCGUCAUUGUUCUAUGACGCCAUGUUCUGGGGAACACGCGAGGACGCAUGGCAUCUCGCACUGGAAUUUAGCAAGGGUGAGGAACAGGACCGGAUUUGGCGAAGUGGGAUAUCGGUGUGGGCUAUACAAAAUGUUUCACCAACCAAAUUUACUCCCAUGUUUUUUUUUAUUUAUUGAUUUAUAAAAAUAUAUCGGCUUAUAAAUAAGUAUGUUCAAAAGUACUGUCUAUAUAAUUAACUACGGUUUCUGGCCUUGGAAAAUACAUUGAAUUAAAAUCUAUAAUUAAACUGG